ensembl:lncRNA
CUUUAUUUAUGGAUGCCGAAAUUUGAAUUUCAAAUAACUUUCACGUGUCACAAAAUAUUAUUCUUUUGAUUUUUCCAACCAUUUAAAAACGUAACCACAGUUUGCUGACCUCAACUAUAAGCUAUUAGCAGAUUAUUGCUUUAAGUUCCUUUAUCUCAUCAAAUUACCGUGAACCACUGCGAACAAAAAGGUAUAUUUUUUACGUGGAAGUGAUUAUAUUCAAAGAUAAAUUAUUUUGAACUUCAAAACAUAAAGUUCAUAUCUGAAAUGCAGUCUUUUGGGACCUAAUUAUUCAAACACUACUAGAGCCAUUAAGGAAAAACCUACAGUAGACAUAGAAGAACAAUAGUUAAUAGUUUACUCUUAAUAUUUACUGAAAAUUUUGGCAUGGCCAACUGUCAAUCAAAAUUGACUAUAGUGGAGCCAUUUUAAAAUGGAGUUGGAGCUGCCUUCCUAGAGAAACUGCCUUGCUGUCUUGAGCCUUGGACUGGGCCAAAUCUUUGAAGUGGGCUAAAAUGGCUAUUGUUUUACAAGGAAUUGUUUGCAAAGUCAGCAGGAAAAUGGACAUCCUGAUCACAAAGGCUGAGGAUUGUCUUUCUGAAGAUAGAGGACUUUGUGAAGAUAGAAUAAAUAGUCAAUCAAUGUUUAGCUAAGACUAGCUUUUGCCUCCAAAUCCAAUUAAAAUUCUUUGUAAUAUAAACCUCCCUUGUUUGCCUUUAAAAGACCCUGACUUUAGGGGGCCAGCCCCAUGGCGCAGCGGUUAAGUGCGCACCUUCUGCCUCUGUGACCUGGCACUGCUUGGCAAGCCAUGCUGUGGCAGGCGUCCCACAUAUAAAGUGGAGGAAGAUGGGCACGGAUGUUAGCUCAGGGCCAGGCUUCCUCAGCAAAAAGAGGAGGAUUGGCAGCAGAUGUUAGCUCAGGGCUAAUUUUCCUGAAAAAAAAAAAAACAAGCCCCUGACUUUUACUCCCUAGUGGGAUACUAGGUUUCUACCUGAAUUGGGUUUCUACCUGAAUCUGUGCUCCCCAAAUUGCAAUUCUUUGAUCCCAAAUAAACACUUUGCCUCUUAAACUGGUUUCUAUUUUUGAAGGUUGACAUAUGGUGUCAGAAAGUGGGAACUGAAUCGAUCUCACCUUCAUGGACUGGCAUCCUCUGGAAAUGGCUACAAUACCUACACGAGUCCCUUGUGUUCACCACUUCUAUGGACCGCUAGUUCCUCCAAUAGAAGCUUAGUCCUGAGCUAACAUCUGCUGCCAAUCCUUCUCUUUUUGCUGAGGAAGACUGGCCCUGAGCUAACAUCCGUGCCCAUCUUUCUCCACUUUAUAUGUGGGACGCCUACCACAUGGCUUGCCAAGUGGUGCCAUGUCUGCACCUGGGAUCCAAACUGGCAAACCCUGGGCCACCAAAGAGGAAUGUGUGAACUUAACUGCUGCGCCACCGGGCUGGCCCUGUAGUGAGAUCUUUAACCAUGCCACUUUAAGUCUUUUGUCAUUUACAGACAGUUAUUGUUUUACUCUGAUACUUUUGGAAAUGUGUCUCAUCUUCAGAGAGCUUCAUGGAAAGGACUCUGACCUUCUAGAAUUCAGGUUUCUAGUAAAAUUUCAAAUUAUAAAACUGAACUGGGUAAGAAAUUACAGUACUCCUACAGAGACUCAUGGCUUCAUAAAAUUGCUAACAAAAAGGUCAAAGAACAAAUAAAUAUUAAUUACAUGGGACUACAUGAACCAGGGAGGAUGCUCUAAUGUUUUUUUUUUCCAGAUUUAAAGAAAUCUUUUCUCUUAAGCUGUCACAACGUGGUAGGAUAUAUCUUUGUGAACAAAGAUGAAACAUUUACUUUUUCUCCCUACCUCAUCCCUCCAGAAUUCAGAAACUGUCAGUGAGUAUUCUUAUUUUCCCUUUAUAAAUAAUCAGACCAAGUUUUAAAUUUAAACAAAUGUUUUACUGUUAUUAUUUUUGGUAAAAAAUGAGGGUAAUUGUAGAGAGAAAAAUUAUGUUUGCACCUUUGUAGAUAUUAGAUUCUAGUCCUGUUAAUUGUCUUUGAGGUUUUGUUAUAUACCUGUUGACUGGAUUCCUCUGACCUAAGGUAUUGUCUUUGGUCUUGCCAACUAUUCCCAGUACCCUCUUUGGAAAACAUACUCACUCCACAUAAGAUAGUCACCAGCAGAUAAAUGUCUGUUGACAUACAACCUUCUGCUGAUCCCUCGUUGUCUUAUGCUAGUAUGACCAGUUACUGUAAGUUUCUACUGUCUUCUACUCAAGGCUUUCAUCAACAGGUAAAAGAAACUUUCCUGGAUUCCAAUUUAAAGCAUCCUAUUGGUCAGUCUAGAGCCUGGUGACUAGGUAUUCUGGAAGCAUCAUCAGAGGAAGACAGCCCUCAAGCCUUGUUGAAAAGGACCUUACCAAGUGCUCCUGACCACUGAUACUACUGCAGAACUAGAAGGCAUUGAACCUUGGAGAUACAUCUCACAGCUAAAGAAGGCUACACCCAACAUUUGGUCCUGUGUGAAUGCUGGAGACCUCCAAAUCAAACUGACCAGAAAGAGAAGCAGCCAACAUCUGAAACAGAUAGCUUUUCCAAGAUGGCUGCACCAAGCCUGUACACCUUUUACUCACUGUUGCACCUUACCUUAUUUUCUGUCUGUCUGUCUUGGAAAGACAAUACUCUUAUCCACAUCUCCCAAUCUAUUGCCAAAAGGGUAAAUCUUUCUGACUGUUGGGUUUGUCAUCAGAAGCCUCAUUCUGUACAUGAAUCUAGAGAAUCUUUUAGCACAUUUAAUUACCAAUCUCUCCACCAUUCCUCUCCUAAUUCCUUAUGCUGUCUAGAACUCCUUGCCUAACCAAUUGAACCUCCAGAAAUUGAACUGGUAACAUUGUAACUAUUGUAAAUGCCUCUUGUUGAACUUGGGUAAACACCUCCAGCAAGGUAAAGACAGAACUAGACAGAAUUUGAGCACAAGCUGAAAGAUUCGAUGCAGUGCCCACUGACAUCCCGUAGUUCUUUGAUCUGUUUAGCUGGCUACCCUCAAGAACUGUCUCUUGGUUCAGGUCUAUUCUGCAAUUUGGACUUAGCAUUUUGUUUAUUAUUAUAGAAAUUCUCACUUUUGUAAAACGUCUCUUCUGCAUGGCUUGAUGUUAUAAAAACACCACUUGGAUAAUGGUCGCUCAGUGUUUUGAAAUGAUUGCUAAAGCUUACAAGCCUUCACCUGAGAAACUUCAAGGAACUAAAGACAAUGUCUGCCCUUGAAAGAACUUGAUGGUAAGGCUUUUCUCUGCUCUGGCACUCCUGUUGCUCAAAUGUGGCCUAGGAUCUUAAGGAAAACACUUUCCCUCCUACAUGGGACAUGAAAUACUAGGAAUGAGCCUUUCUGGUUAUGAGAGACCAACAGUGCUUUGAUGACUGAUCAGCAAUACUUUCCACGAAAGGUCUUGAUCAAAAGGGGAAAAAUGUCAAAAUUGACUUUAGUGGAGCCAUUUUAAAAUGGAGUUGGAGCUGCCUCUCCAGAGAAACUGCCCUGCCGUUUUGAACCUUGGACUGGGCCAAACCUUUGGACUGGGCCAAAAUGGCCACUGUUUUACAAGCAAUUGUUUGAGGAGUCAGUAGGAGAAUGGACAUCCUGAUCACAAAGGCUGAGGAUUGCAGACUUUCUGAAGAUAGAAUCAAUACUCAAUCAAUGCUUAGCCAAGACUAACUUCUGCCUCCAACUCCAGUUAAAAUUCUUUGUAACAUAAACCUCCCUUCUUUGCCUUUAAAAGCCCCUGACUUUUACUUCCUAGCUGGAUGCUAUCUGUGCUCCCCAAAAUGAAAUUCUUUGAUCCCAAAUAAAUGCUUUGCCUCUUAA